GCGGAUGAAGUGUUGUGGCGGCACGCGGGCGUUCCAUGUCCGAGGAGCGAGUUCGAUUCUCGUCAUCCGUU
rnacentral:tRNA from 1 species